rnacentral:rRNA from 1 species
GUGGGGAAUCUUCCACAAUGGACGAAAGUCUGAUGGAGCAACGCCGCGUGAGUGAAGAAGGUUUUCGAAUCGUAAAGCUCUGUUGUCGGGGACGAAUGUUGAGACCGAGAAUAUUGGUUUCAAAUGACGGUACCUGACGAGGAAGCCACGGCUAACUACGUGCCAGCAGCCGCGGUAAUACGUAGGUGGCGAGCGUUGUCCGGAAUUAUUGGGCGUAAAGGGAGCGCAGGUGGGAAAGUAAGUCUGUCUUAAAAGUGCGGGGCUCAACCCCGUGAUGGGAUAGAAACUAUUUUUCUUGAGUGCAGGAGAGGAAAGCGGAAUUCCUAGUGUAGCGGUGAAAUGCGUAGAUAUUAGGAGGAACACCAGUGGCGAAGGCGGCUUUCUGGACUGUAACUGACACUGAGGCUCGAAAGCCAGGGGAGCGAACGGGAUUAGAUACCCCAGUAGUCC